rnacentral:rRNA from 1 species
CCUUCGGGUUGUAAAGCUCUUUCGGCCGGGACGAAAUCGCGAGGGUGAAUAUCCCGCGUGGAUGACGGUACCGGAAGAAGAAGCACCGGCUAACUACGUGC